UGACGAGGCACUACGGUGCUGAAGCAACAAAUGCCCUGCUUCCAGGAAAAGCCUCUAAGCAUCAGGUAACAUCAAAUCGUACCCCAAACCGACACAGGUGGUCAGGUAGAGAAUACCAAGGCGCUUGAGAGAACUCGGGUGAAGGAACUAGGCAAAAUGGUGCCGUAACUUCGGGAGAAGGCACGCUGACACGUAGGUGAAGUGAUUUACUCAUGGAGCUGAAGUCAGUCGAAGAUACCAGCUGGCUGCAACUGUUUAUUAAAAACACAGCACUGUGCAAACACGAAAGUGGACGUAUACGGUGUGACGCCUGCCCGGUGCCGGAAGGUUAAUUGAUGGGGUCAGCGCAAGCGAAGCUCCUGAUCGAAGCCCCGGUAAACGGCGGCCGUAACUAUAACGGUCCUAAGGUAGCGAAAUUCCUUGUCGGGUAAGUUCCGACCUGCACGAAUGGCGUAAUGAUGGCCAGGCUGUCUCCACCCGAGACUCAGUGAAAUUGAACUCGCUGUGAAGAUGCAGUGUACCCGCGGCAAGACGGAAAGACCCCGUGAACCUUUACUAUAGCUUGACACUGAACAUUGAGCCUUGAUGUGUAGGAUAGGUGGGAGGCUUUGAAGUGUGGACGCCAGUCUGCAUGGAGCCGACCUUGAAAUACCACCCUUUAAUGUUUGAUGUUCUAACGUGGACCCGUGAUCCGGGUUGCGGACAGUGUCUGGUGGGUAGUUUGACUGGGGCGGUCUCCUCCUAAAGAGUAACGGAGGAGCACGAAGGUUGGCUAAUCCUGGUCGGACAUCAGGAGGUUAGUGCAAUGGCAUAAGCCAGCUUGACUGCGAGCGUGACGGCGCGAGCAGGUGCGAAAGCAGGUCAUAGUGAUCCGGUGGUUCUGAAUGGAAGGGCCAUCGCUCAACGGAUAAAAGGUACUCCGGGGAUAACAGGCUGAUACCGCCCAAGAGUUCAUAUCGACGGCGGUGUUUGGCACCUCGAUGUCGGCUCAUCACAUCCUGGGGCUGAAGUAGGUCCCAAGGGUAUGGCUGUUCGCCAUUUAAAGUGGUACGCGAGCUGGGUUUAGAACGUCGUGAGACAGUUCGGUCCCUAUCUGCCGUGGGCGCUGGAGAACUGAGGGGGGCUGCUCCUAGUACGAGAGGACCGGAGUGGACGCAUCACUGGUGUUCGGGUUGUCAUGCCAAUGGCACUGCCCGGUAGCUAAAUGCGGAAGAGAUAAGUGCUGAAAGCAUCUAAGCACGAAACUUGCCCCGAGAUGAGUUCUCCCUGAGACUUAAAGUCUCCUGAAGGAACGUUGAAGACGACGACGUUGAUAGGCCGGGUGUGUAAGCGCAGCGAUGCGUUGAGCUAACCGGUACUAAUGAACCGUGAGGCUUAACCUU
rnacentral:rRNA from 1 species